GCUCGGAAUCACUGGGCGUAAAGCGCACGCAGGCGGAUUGUUAAGUCAGGGGUGAAAUCCUGGAGCUCAACUCCAGAACUGCCUUUGAUACUGGCGAUCUCGAGUCCGGGAGAGGUGAGUGGAACUGCGAGUGUAGAGGUGAAAUUCGUAGAUAUUCGCAAGAACACCAGUGGCGAAGGCGGCUCACUGGCCCGGUACUGACGCUGAGGUGCGAAAGCGUGGGGAGCAAACGGG
rnacentral:rRNA from 1 species